rnacentral:lncRNA from 1 species
CGUAAACAGAUACAAUGCCCGAGUAAUACUUUCCGGAAAUAUUACACGACACGAUUUUAAAGCUUUAAUUACGCGGCACUAAAAAUGAAGCUUUGUAUGUUUACAACUUUUUCAUUCUUCCAUCUCUUACAGGUAUCAAAUAUUUUUAACAUUUUUGUAUGGCCCAAGUCCUCACUAGUCAUGGAAAGCUGAAAAAAUAUUUCCACCGAUAUCAUCUCUCAAAUAGUAGCUGCGAUUGUGAUGGUAAUUCUUUACAGGACAGCACACAUACUACAUCUAUGAAUAUGAUCGUUACAAUAAUCCGCGCACCAAAUGGAAAGAACUGCUCUAUUCAACUCCUUCAAUUGGUCUUGUACGAAAACUAAACUUUCAGAUAGUAUUCAAUACCUGUUAUGUGCAUUGGUUCAUCUUCGCACAAAAACAAUUUCUUCGGCUAAGAACCAAUUGUGCAAUCAUUUUAAUAUCUGCAGGCGAUAUUUUUGAAAAUAUUCACUUCCUGCCGGGGAAAAGUCUCUUGUCUGGCCUGCCAGUCUAAUUGUUUUUGUAUUUUAGAAUCUCCAAUAAACACACGCUAAUACCCAUGAACACGAAUGGAGUAAUUAUUUCUUCUCUAUCUCCUCAAGUAACUUACCCCCCUCUCUCUAGGUAGGAUCCAUUUUUACUUAUAUUUUCAUUUUUUUUACUCUCUCCUCACUUCAUUCUUCAAUAGUGUCAAACCGACGAAUAAGUUCUUUAUACUCUUUUAUUGUUAG